UACGUAGGGUGCGAGCGUUGUCCGGAAUUAUUGGGCGUAAAAGAGCUUGUAGGUGGUUUGUCGCGUCUGCUGUGAAAAUCCCGAGGCUCAACCUCGGACUUGCAGUGGGUACGGGCAGACUAGAGUGUGGUAGGGGAGACUGGAAUUCCUGGUGUACGCGGUGGAAUGCGCAGAUAUCAGGAGGAACACCGAGUGGCGAAGGCGGUCUCUGGGCCAUUACUGACAC
rnacentral:rRNA from 1 species